UACGUAGGGUCCGAGCGUUGUCCGGAAUUAUUGGGCGUAAAGGGCUCGUAGGCGGUCUGUCGCGUCGGGAGUGAAAACACGGGGCUUAACCCCGUGCCUGCUUCCGAUACGGGCAGACUAGAGGUAUGCAGGGGAGAACGGAAUUCCUGGUGUAGCGGUGAAAUGCGCAGAUAUCAGGAGGAACACCGGUGGCGAAGGCGGUUCUCUGGGCAUUACCUGACGCUGAGGAGCGAAAAGUGUGGGGAGCGAACAGG
rnacentral:rRNA from 1 species